UCCUUCUUCAAUAACGGCGAGGCAAUGACCGCUCUCAAGAGUAACCUGAUGAAGUUGACCGAGCUACAGAAAAAGCCUCUCGGAACAUAGCUGCACCAAUAGCAGUGAUCCUGACCUUCAAGAUCAUCAUCACGACAAAGACAUUGCCCAAGAUGAUGAUAUCCAGAUAAAUGUUCAGCUGUGUUGAGAUCCCGACAGAAAUAUGAAAAAAGGGGAAACGUAGUGUUUUCUUUGUUUUUUUUUGGACCAUACAGAGACAUCAGUUGGGAUCAGAGAGGCACUUCUUUCAUAUAGCUCCUUGUACCUGAUACUGUAUUCAUAUCUCCAGCCAACAAAAUAGGGCCAUUUUACACAGGACAUAUUUUGGAACAAGAAAAUUGCUACUCUGAUCUAAUGUUUGGCUGGGCAACACUCUGGGGUCUUCCUGGUCCCAGCCUCACUCCUCUACACCUGGAACCCUAGUCUACUGGUGCCUCACUCCUCUACACCUGGAACCCUAGUCUACUGGUGCCUCACUCCUCUACAGCUGGAAUC